rnacentral:rRNA from 1 species
UACGGAGGGGGCGAGCGUUAUUCGGAAUUAUUGGGCGUAAAGGGCGCGUAGGCGGCCCGGUAAGUCAAAGGUGAAAUCCCUCGGCUCAACUGAGGAACUGCCUUUGAAACUGUCGGGCUUGAGGCCGGGAGGGGGUAGCGGAAUUCCCAGUGUAGCGGUGAAAUGCGCAGAUAUCGGGAGGAACACCAAUAGCGAAGGCAGCUCGCUGGGCCAAUACUGACGCUCAUGCACGAAAGCGUGGGGAGCAAACAGG